rnacentral:rRNA from 1 species
UACGUAGGGAGCAAGCGUUGUUCGGAUUUACUGGGCGUAAAGGGCGCGUAGGCGGCAACUCAAGUCAGCUGUGAAAUCUCCGAGCUUAACUCGGAACGGUCAGCUGAUACUGUUUUGCUAGAGUGCAGAAGGGGCAAUCGGAAUUCUUGGUGUAGCGGUGAAAUGCGUAGAUAUCAAGAGGAACACCUGAGGUGAAGACGGGUUGCUGGGCUGACACUGACGCUGAGGCGCGAAAGCCAGGGGAGCAAACGGG